CUUUUGUCAACAGUAAGUGUCGAAAGAUCCCCAGAGGUGGCUACUAAAACAGCUGUAAAUCAUAAUGUAGGUGGCGAAGGAUAAACAAAGCUCUGCCUUAUCCUAUCUUUUUAACAUUUCAGGUUAAAACCACAGCCAAUUCCAUUUUUGGGUGUUCCAAGAAGCAACCAAUCUGUGCAAGACCAGCAUAAGGCUGAGCAGAGGAGCCUUUGGGAGCCAAACACAAGGCUUCUUUCAGGCAGAGCCGCUACAGAGGCAUAUGAGGGCAUUCAGUGUUCCACCCCAACCACAGGAUUUAUUUACCUUCCAGUGAGGGCCAACCAG